rnacentral:rRNA from 1 species
ACGGAGGGUGCAAACGUUGCUCGGAAUUAUUGGGCGUAAAGCGCGCGUAGGCGGCUUGGCAAGUUGGAUGUGAAAGCCCCGGGCUCAACCUGGGAAGUGCAUCCAAAACUGCCUGGCUUGAAUCUCGGAGGGGGCCAGAGAAUUCCCGGUGUAGAGGUGAAAUUCGUAGAUAUCGGGAGGAAUACCAGUGGCGAAGGCGCUGGCCUGGACGAUGAUUGACGCUGAGGUGCGAAAGCGUGGGGAGCAAACAGG